rnacentral:rRNA from 1 species
GCAGCCGCGGUAAUUCCAGCUCCAAUAGCGUAUAUUAAAGUUGUUGCAGUUAAAAAGCUUGUAGUUGAAUUUUAGGCCUGGCCGGGCGGUCCGUCUUUGGCGAGUACUGUCUGCUGUCGGGUCUUCCUUCUGGUGAACCAGCAUGUCCUUUGUUGGAGCCAGGACCAUUACCUUGAAAAAAUUAGAGUGUUUAAAGCGGGCUAUUGCUUGAAUAAAUUAGCAUGGAAUAAUAGAAUAGGACGUUGUGGUUCUAUUUUGUUGGUUUCUAGGACCACCAUAAUGAUUAAUAGGGAUAGUUGGG